GAUCCUGCCGGAGGUCACCGUUAUCAGGUUUCGACUUAGCCAUGCGAGGCGCGAGAUAUCUGGUCUCGCCGAACUGCUCAGUAACACGUAGCUAACUUACCCUCAAGUAGAAGAUAAUCCUGGGAAACUGGGGCUAUAUUCUAUAGCUGUUAAAUGCUGGAAUGCUUUAACAGCAAAAGCUACGGCACUUGAGGAUAGGGCUGCGACCUAUCAUGGUAGUUGUGAGUAUAAGAUACUCACAAGCCCGUAACGGGUAGGGGUCAUGAGAGUGAGAGCCUCGAGAUGCCUUCUGAGACAUGAAGGCAGGUCCUACGGGACGCAGCAGGUGCGAAAACUUUCCAAUAGCUUAACGGCUGAGAAGGGAAGCCUGAGUGACUAUGCACUGCAUAGUCUUUUGUUUUGCCUAGAAAGCAAGACGAAUAAGUGGUGGGUAAGACGGGUGGCAGCCGCCGCGGUAAUACCCGCGCCACGAAUGGUGACCGCGAUUAUUGGGUCUAAAGCGUCCGUAGCCUGUUAAACAAGUUCUUGGUUAAAUACAACAGUUGACUGUUGUGCUUGCUGAGAAUACUGUUUGACUUGGGAUUGGGAAAGGAGAAAGGUAUUCCACGUGUAGGGGUUAAAUCCUUUAAUCCGUGGAGGACCUCCGGUGGCGAAGGCGUUUCUCUGGAACAAGUCCGACGGUGAGGGACGAAAGCUAGGGGAGCAAAUCUAAUCUUUCGAUAAAAAGAUGAGAGCUCAAAUGGGAUUAGAUAUGAGCUUAAAAACAAACAGGGUUUUUAGUUCACUAGAAACCCCAGUAGUCCUAGCUGUAAACGAUGUCCGUUUGAUGUUGCAAACUCUACGGGAGUUUGCAGUGUCGGAGCGUAGGUGUUAAACGGACCACCUGGGGAGUACGGCCGCAAGGUUGAAACUUAAGGGAAUUGGCGGGAGAGCACACAAGGGGUGGAGGCUGCGGUUCAAUUGGAUUCAACGCCGGG
rnacentral:rRNA from 1 species